rnacentral:rRNA from 1 species
UGGGGAAUAUUGCGCAAUGGGCGAAAGCCUGACGCAGCGACGCCGCGUGAGUGAUGAAGGCCUUCGGGUCGUAAAGCUCUGUUGGAGGGGGACGAAUAAGCAGUGAGAAUAAUACCUCAUUGCCCUGACGGUACCUUUCCAGAAAGCACCGGCUAACUCCGUGCCAGCAGCCGCGGUAAUACGGAGGGUGCAAACGUUGUUCGGAAUCACUGGGCGUAAAGCGCGUGUAGGCGGCUUGACAAGUCAGAUGUGAAAUCCCACGGCUUAACCGUGGAAGUGCAUUUGAAACUGUCAGGAUAGAAUAUGGGAGAGGGUUGUAGAAUUCCUGGUGUAGAGGUGAAAUUCGUAGAUAUCAGGAGGAAUACCGGUGGCGAAGGCGGCAACCUGGACCAAUAUUGACGCUGAGACGCGAAAGCGUGGGGAGCAAACAGG